UAGGGAAUCUUCCACAAUGGGCGAAAGCCUGAUGGAGCAACGCCGCGUGUGUGAUGAAGGGUUUCGGCUCGUAAAACACUGUUGUAAGAGAAGAAUGACAUUGAGAGUAACUGUUCAAUGUGUGACGGUAUCUUGCCAGAAAGGAACGGCUAAAUACGUGCUAGC
rnacentral:rRNA from 1 species